GCCGGUGUGGUGAAAUUGGUAGACGCGCCGGACUCAAAAUCCGGUUCCGCAAGGAGUGUCGGUUCGAGUCCGACCACCGGCA
rnacentral:tRNA from 1 species